GCUACAGUGCCCUACAGUCCGCCCCAGUUUCCUCCAUCGCAUCCACUCCGCCGAACUCACCAUUCCUUUGCGAGCUCGCUCUAUCCGUCGCCGGUCUCAUCUCCGACGCGUACACACGCUCGAUCGCCGGCACCUGGUCGUGGAUCAAGUCACCGUUAACCCCAAUCCCUUAACAGAGGUCGCGACGACAUAGAUCUUCGAAGGGUAGCUUCGUGCAAGGGAUUCUCGGCCGAGAGAGGGGAAAUUGAACUCCGACGAUGCGGGAGUGAGAUCUCUUGUUCCAGAGCUCCAUAGUGGCGAGGGUUUAUGCUCUAGGUAGCUGACUCAUUUUCCCGAGCUUAGGGCCAGGCUGAUCUUGUCGGAUUCUCUUCGUCGACGGUAGAGGCUUCGGGCAUCAAGGUAUUAAGUGGCUUGCUGUGAAGGGCUAGAUCACAAUUCUAGUGGCUGUUCUUCAUUUGGGAACCAUUAGCUCUGUGAGAGCUCGGAUCUGUGAAUCAGCAACAUUGGGUAGGAUAAGAGUGCUAGUGCCAGCGAGUCCAUCUUCCAGCAGUGAUUCUUCAUCCGGGAAGCAGAGGUGUAGAAGUGUAGGAUUGCAGGUCUGAUAGAAAAUUCUGUAUUGGGUGAGGAGGUCAGAUCUGAAAUUGUUAGUGAUUAAGGUAGCUGAUAGCGAUGCUAGUACACUUGGAGGAGGAUCCCGACUGCUGGUCCCACGUCACUUCCGAGGACGGUUUUAUGAUUUUGGUUUUCAUUUUAUUGUGAGUUAAACCUUUGAAUUUAGCAUUGUAAUAAUUAGGCUGUGGACUUGUUAUUUUGUAUUUGAUUGUUUUGUCGAGGAGUCAAGCCGGGCCGACCCGGGUGAGUUUUCAUUA